rnacentral:rRNA from 1 species
GAUGAACGCUGGCGGCGUGCCUAAUACAUGCAAGUCGAGCGAACGGACGAGAAGCUUGCUUCUCUGAUGUUAGCGGCGGACGGGUGAGUAACACGUGGAUAACCUACCUAUAAGACUGGGAUAACUUCGGGAAACCGGAGCUAAUACCGGAUAAUAUUUUGAACCGCAUGGUUCAAAAGUGAAAGACGGUCUUGCUGUCACUUAUAGAUGGAUCCGCGCUGCAUUAGCUAGUUGGUAAGGUAACGGCUUACCAAGGCAACGAUGCAUAGCCGACCUGAGAGGGUGAUCGGCCACACUGGAACUGAGCCACGGUCCAGCCUCCUACGGGAGGCAGCAGUAGGGAAUCUUCCGCAAUGGGCGAAAGCCUGACGGAGCAACGCCGCGUGAGUGAUGAAGGUCUUCGGAUCGUAAAACUCUGUUAUUAGGGAAGAACAUAUGUGUAAGUAACUGUGCACAUCUUGACGGUACCUACUCAGAAAGCCACGGCUAACUACGUG